rnacentral:rRNA from 1 species
CUACGGAGGGGGCUAGCGUUGUUCGGAAUUACUGGGCGUAAAGCGCGUGUAGGCGGAUCGUUAAGUCAGGGGUGAAAGCCCGGGGCUCAACCCCGGAACUGCCCUUGAUACUGGCGAUCUAGAGUCCGGAAGAGGUGGGCGGAAUUCCCGGUGUAGAGGUGAAAUUCGUAGAUAUCGGGAGGAACACCAGUGGCGAAGGCGGCUCACUGGUCCGGUACUGACGCUGAGACGCGAAAGCGUGGGGAGCAAACAGGAUUAGAAACCCUAGUAGUCC